CCCUAGCCCCGAUUGGAGCAUUUGUUUGAGCUCAUUUUUAGCUUUUCGGUUGGGGCAAGCCAAAGGCUUGCCCCAACCGAAAAGCUAAAAAUAGCGAGUGCGGAAAGCGGGAAAUAGC
rnacentral:misc_RNA from 1 species